UGCCAGCCGCCGCGGUAAUACGGAGGGUGCGAGCGUUAAUCGGAAUUACUGGGCGUAAAGGGUGCGUAGGCGGUUGACUCAGUCGGAUGUGAAAGCCCCGGGCUUAACCUGGGAAUUGCAUUCGAUACUGGUUGACUAGAGUACGGUAGAGGGUAGUGGAAUUUCUGGUGUAGCGGUGAAAUGCGUAGAUAUCAGAAGGAACACCGGUGGCGAAGGCGGCUACCUGGACCGAUACUGACGCUGAGGCACGAAAGCGUGGGGAGCAAACAGGAUUAGAUA
rnacentral:rRNA from 1 species